UCAAAAAUGAGUGAUUCUCUAUGACCUCAAGCUUAACCGGUUCCUCAACUUCGUCGUCGUUGACGACAUUGGCUGAGAAGAGUUAUUCCUUUGGAUAACAGUUGCCUCUUCAAUGCGGUUGGAUAUGUUAUGGAUCAUGACGAACACAAAGCUGCUGAGUUGAGACAGAUAUCUGCCUUUGAGGAAGCUCCUAAGGAGUUCGAUCAGACCAUAUUUGCUGUACGAAAAAACAGAAGCAUUGGACCUAUUGAGGGGCUUGCUCUAAAUUUUGUGAAGGACCAGCAGAGGUAUCUGAAGUUACAGGGGAUGAUGUCAUUUAUACUAUAAAGAAUUCAGCAACAUUGGCUGGGUCUCUGUUCACUUUGCAUGCCUCUCAAGUUCAUAUUGACUUGCCUACUCUCACUGAUAAAGACAAGGAGGUUAUAAGCACCUCGGGAGUAAAAAAACAAAAUUGAUUUUCUAUCAUUGUCAUAUACUAGGCAUGCUGAAGAUGUUCGCCAGGCCCAUGAAUUCCUUUCUAAGUUGGGUGAUCUAAGGGAAACUCAAAUAUUUGCAAAGAUUGAAAAUGUUGAGUAUUGCUACUCUGGUUCUUCCUCAAGUGGGCUGAUGACUAAAAUUUGGUUUGUUGAGUGCUAAGGAUAACAUGUAAAAGGGAAAAAGUAGAUUUAAAGGAGGCAAAGGAUCCCCUUGAGAAGGCAAUGGUAGAUGGUAGAUAGUUGACCCUAAAAGUAAGUUGUGCACGUUGUUGUUUUAUAUAUG